rnacentral:rRNA from 1 species
CACGUAGGGCGCGAGCGUUGUCCGGAAUUAUUGGGCGUAAAGAGCUCGUAGGCGGCCUGUUGCGUCCGCUGUGAAAGCCCGGGGCUUAACCCCGGGUCGGCAGUGGAUACGGGCAGGCUAGAGGUAGGUAGGGGAGAAUGGAAUUCCCGGUGUAGCGGUGAAAUGCGCAGAUAUCGGGAGGAACACCAGUGGCGAAGGCGACUAUCUGGGCUGCAACUGACGCUGAGGCGCGAAGGCUAGGGUAGCAAACAGG